rnacentral:rRNA from 1 species
GAAGAAAGAGGGAGGAGGGAGGAACACAGGCAAGUCGAACGGAAAGGCCCUGCUUUUGUGGGGUGCUUGAGUGGCGAACGGGUGAGUAACACGUGAGUAACAUGCUCUUGACUUUGGGAUAACUUCAGGAAACUGGGGCUAAUACCGGAUAGGAGCUCCUGCUGCAUGGUGGGGGUUGGAAAGUUUCGGCGGUUGGGGAUGGACUCGCGGCUUAUCAGCUUGUUGGUGGGGUAGUGGCUUACCAAGGCUUUGACGGGUAGCCGGCCUGAGAGGGUGACCGGCCACAUUGGGACUGAGAUACGGCCCAGACUCCUACGGGAGGCAGCAGUGGGGAAUAUUGCACAAUGGGCGGAAGCCUGAUGCAGCAACGCCGCGUGCGGGAUGACGGCCUUCGAUUUGUAAACCGCUUUCGCCUGUGACGAAGCGUGAGUGACGGUAAUGGGUAAAGAAGCACCGGCUAACUACGUC